UCGAGGAUCUUCGGCAAUGGGCGAAAGCCUGACCGAGCGACGCCGCGUGCGGGAUGAAGGCCUUCGGGUUGUAAACCGCUGUCGUAGAGGAGGAAAUACAGGGGGGUUCUCCCCCUUGUUUGACCUAUUCUAGGAGGAAGUACGGGCUAAGUUCGUGCCAGCAGCCGCGGUAAGACGAACCGUACGAACGUUAUUCGGAAUUACUGGGCUUAAAGGGUGCGUAGGCUGCGCGGAAAGUUGGGUGUGAAAGCCCUCAGCUCAACUGAGGAACUGCACUCAAAACUGCCGUGCUCGAGGGAGACAGAGGUGAGCGGAACUCAAGGUGGAGCGGUGAAAUGCGUUGAUAUCUUGAGGAACACCGGUGGCGAAAGCGGCUCACUGGGUCUUUUCUGACGCUGAG
rnacentral:rRNA from 1 species